rnacentral:rRNA from 1 species
UUCCUACGGGGGGCAGCAGUGGGGGAUAUUGGACAAUGGGGGGAACCCUGAUCCAGCGACGCCGCGUGAGUGAAGAAGUAUUUCGGUAUGUAAAGCUCUGUCAGCAGGGAAGAAAGAAAUGACGGUACCUGACCAAGAAGCCCCGGCUAACUACGUGCCAGCAGCCGCGGUAAUACGUAGGGGGCAAGCGUUAUCCGGAAUUACUGGGUGUAAAGGGAGCGUAGACGGUUAAGUAAGUCUGAAGUGAAAGGCCGGGGCCCAACCCCGGGACUGCUCUGGAAA